ACAUCCAUGUCACGCUGAGUACACCGGUUCUCGUCCGAUUACUGAAGUUAAGCAGCGUCAGGCGUGAUCAGAACUUGGGAUGGGUAAUCGCCUGGGAACACGGCGUGCU